rnacentral:lncRNA from 1 species
UCAUUUUUUAUACGACCGCAAAAUUUGAAAAAAUUUUCGUCGUAUAUUGCUAUCACGUUGGCGUCGUCGUCGUCGUCGUCGUCGUCGUCCGAAUACUUUUAGUUUUCGCACUCUAACUUUAGUAAAAGUGAAUGGAAAUCUAUGAAAUUUUAACACAAGGUUUAUGACCACAAAAGGAAGGUUGGUAUUGAUUUUGGGAGUUGUGGUCCCAACAUUUUAGGAAUUAGGGGCCAAAAAGGGCCCAAAUAAGCAUUUUCUUGGUUUUCGCACUAUAACUUUAGUUUAAGUUAAUAGAAAUCUAUGAAAUUUUGACACAAGGUUUAUGACCACAAAAGAACGGUUGGGAUUGAUUUUGGGAGUUUUGGUUUCAACAGUUUAGGAAUUAGGGGCCAAAAAAGGGCCCAAAUAAGCAUUAUUCUUGGUUUUCGCACAAUAACUUUAGUUUAAGUAAAUAGAAAUCAAUGAAAUUUAAACACAAUGUUAAUGACUACAAAAGGAAGGUUGGUAUUGAUUUUGGGAGUUUAGGUCCCAACAGUUUAGGAAUUAGGGGCCAAAAAGGGACCCAAAUAAGCAUUUUUCUUGGUUUUCGCACCAUAACGUUAGUAUAAGUAAAUAGAA